AAAGCCGGAUUAAUACCGCAUACGCUCUGUGGAGGAAAGCGGGGGAUCUUUCGGGACCUCGCGCUCAAGGGGCGGCCGAUGGCAGAUUAGGUAGUUGGUGGGGUAAAGGCCUACCAAGCCGACGAUCUGUAGCUGGUCUGAGAGGACGACCAGCCACACUGGGACUGAGACACGGCUCAGACUCCUACGGGAGGCAGCAGUGGGGAAUUUUGGACAAUGGGCGCAAGCCUGAUCCAGCAAUGCCGCGUGUGUGAAGAAGGCCUUCGGGUUGUAAAGCACUUUUGUCCGGAAAGAAAACCUCUGGGUUAAUACCCUGGGGGGAUGACGGUACCGGAAGAAUAAGCACCGGCUAACUACGUGCCAGCAGCCGCGGUAAUACGUAGGGUGCGAGCGUUAAUCGGAAUUACUGGGCGUAAAGCGUGCGCAGGCGGUGAUGU
rnacentral:rRNA from 1 species